GAUGAACGCUGGCGGCGUGCCUAAUACAUGCAAGUCGAGCGAACAGACGAGGAGCUUGCUCCUUUGACGUUAGCGGCGGACGGGUGAGUAACACGUAGGUAACCUACCUAUAAGACUGGGAUAACUUCGGGAAACCGGAGCUAAUACCGGAUAAUAUUUCGAACCGCAUGGUUCGAUAGUGAAAGAUGGCUUUGCUAUCACUUAUAGAUGGACCUGCGCCGUAUUAGCUAGUUGGUAAGGUAACGGCUUACCAAGGCAACGAUACGUAGCCGACCUGAGAGGGUGAUCGGCCACACUGGACUGAGACACGGUCCAGACUCCUACGGGAGGCAGCAGUAGGGAAUCUUCCGCAAUGGGCGAAAGCCUGACGGAGCAACGCCGCGUGAGUGAUGAAGGUCUUCGGAUCGUAAAACUCUGUUAUUAGGGAAGAACAAACGUGUAAGUAACUGUGCACGUCUUGACGGUACCUAAUCAGAAAGCCACGGCUAACUACGUG
rnacentral:rRNA from 1 species